UGGUGGAGUGAUUUGUCUGGUUAAUUCCGUUAACGAACGAGACCUCAACUUACUAAUCAGUGUCAGGAUUCUUUGAAUCUUGUUACUUCUUAGAGGGACUGCUACCUUUCAGGUAGAGGAAGUUGGAGGCAAUAACA
rnacentral:rRNA from 1 species